UACGGGGGGGGCAAGCGUUGUUCGGAAUUACUGGGCGUAAAGGGCGCGUAGGCGGCCUGCUAAGUCGGGUGUGAAAUCCCUCGGCUCAACCGAGGAACUGCAUCCGAUACUGGCGGGCUUGAAUCCGGGAGAGGGAUGUGGAAUUCCAGGUGUAGCGGUGAAAUGCGUAGAUAUCUGGAGGAACACCGGUGGCGAAGGCGGCAUCCUGGACCGGUAUUGACGCUGAGGCGCGAAAGCUAGGGGAGCAAACGGG
rnacentral:rRNA from 1 species